GGGAAGGACUGUGCGAAACAACCCAGCAGCUUCUGCUCCACAGCUGGCCCCAGGCUGACCACAGAGCCCAGCAGUGCCUGUCACUGCAGGGCAAAAAGGCAUUGAAAUAAUGUGGAUAAGGAGGUGGAGCUGAGAAAGAGCUGGGCAGGUUCUGGUGCUCCUGGGGGCAUUGGACAUGGACACUCUCUCCCAAAAGCAAAGGAGAGAAACUGCUGGUGAAAAUCUGGGAUUUCCUCCUUCUUUCCUAAUGCCCAUCUGCAGCUUGAAUGAAAGCCAGCACUGCCUAUGCUCACCUGCUCACCUGCACAUCUCCCUUGCCAAGGGCAUCACCACAGGCUCUCAUUCCUGCUGGGACUUCCAGUGGGUCCCACAAACAUAUUUUACACCUUUGGAUCCUCACAGUGUUGCCUGUGAGUGCUGGUGGCAGGAAUUCAGCCUUUGGGUUGCACAGCCUUCACUGCAGAACUGGACAGAGUAGUGCUGGAAACAUUUCUUCUCAAACUUCUUCCUGGGAUCCCCUGCUCUGCCUGUCCCACUCUGAAAGAAUAAUCUGAGGGAUUAUUCACUCUCAUGAUCUGCUCCCCCUCCUGC